UUUAUUUUAAUUCCUUUGAUUUUCAUUAAUUCAUAUUAAUUUUAAUAUUGAUCCAAAAAAAUAUGAGAGUUUCACCAAAAAAUUUCAAAUAUUUUUCUCUUUCAUAUUUUGAAUUAAAAUUAAUUUUUGGAUCAUUAUUAAUGAUUUUCAUGAUUUAAUUGAUUUUCCAUUUGUUUUUAAAUCUCAUGGCCAUUUCUUUGUUUUUAAAUCUC
rnacentral:lncRNA from 1 species